UGGGGAAUAUUGCGCAAUGGGGGAAACCCUGACGCAGCGACGCCGUGUGAGGGAUGAAGGUCUUCGGAUCGUAAACCUCUGUCAGAAGGGAAGAACCGCAUAGAGUUGAAUAAGCUUUAUGCCUGACGGUACCUUCAGAGGAAGCACCGGCUAACUCCGUGCCAGCAGCCGCGGUAAUACGGAGGGUGCAAGCGUUAAUCGGAAUCACUGGGCGUAAAGCGUGCGUAGGCGGCUUGGUCAGUCAGGCGUGAAAGCCCUCGGCUCAACCGGGGAAUUGCGUUUGAUACUGCCAGGCUUGAGUACCGGAGGGGGUGGCGGAAUUCCAGGUGUAGGAGUGAAAUCCGUAGAUAUCUGGAGGAACACCGGUGGCGAAGGCGGCCACCUGGACGGUAACUGACGCUGAGGCACGAAAGCGUGGGGAGCAAACAGG
rnacentral:rRNA from 1 species